rnacentral:rRNA from 1 species
GCACCUGGUGGCGAGUGGCGAACGGGUGAGUAAUACAUCGGAACGUACCUUAUCGUGGGGGAUAACGCAGCGAAAGCUGUGCUAAUACCGCAUACGCCCUGAGGGGGAAAGCGGGGGAUCGAAAGACCUCGCGCGAUUAGAGCGGCCGAUGCCUGAUUAGCUUGUUGGUGGGGUAAAAGCCCACCAAGGCGACGAUCAGUAGCUGGUCUGAGAGGACGAUCAGCCACACUGGGACUGAGACACGGCCCAGACUCCUACGGGAGGCAGCAGUGGGGAAUUUUGGACAAUGGGGGAAACCCUGAUCCAGCAAUGCCGCGUGAGUGAAGAAGGCCUUCGGGUUGUAAAGCUCUUUUGUCAGGGAAGAAACACCGGCUCUAACACAGUCCGGGAAUGACGGUACCUGAAGAAUAAGCACCGGCUAACUACGUGCCAGCAGCCGCGGUAAUACGUAGGGUGCGAGCGUUAAUCGGAAUUACUGGGCGUAUAGCGUGCGCAGGCGGUUAUACAAGACAGGCGUGAAAUCCCCGGGCUUAACCUGGGAAUGGCGCCUGUGACUGUAUAGCUAGAGUGUGUCAGAGGGGGGUAGAAUUCCACGUGUAGCAGUGAAAUGCGUAGAUAUGUGGAGGAAUACCAAUGGCGAAGGCAGCCCCCUGGGAUAACACUGACGCUCAUGCACGAAAGCGUGGGGAGCAAACAGGAU